rnacentral:rRNA from 1 species
UACGUAGGGGGCAAGCGUUGUCCGGAUUUAUUGGGCGUAAAGAGCGUGUAGGCGGCCAGGUAGGUCAGCUGUGAAAACUCGAGGCUCAACCUCGAGACGCCGGUUGAAACCAUCUGGCUAGAGUCCGGAAGAGGAGAGUGGAAUUCCUGGUGUAGCGGUGAAAUGCGCAGAUAUCAGGAAGAACACCCGUGGCUAAGGCGGCUCUCUAGUACGGUACUGACGCUGAGACGCGAAAGCGUGGGUAGCGAACAGG